UACGUAGGGAGCAAGCGUUGUUCGGAUUUACUGGGCGUAAAGGGCGCGUAGGCGGCAAUUCAAGUCAGCUGUGAAAUCUCCGGGCUUAACUCGGAACGGUCAGCUGAUACUGCUUUGCUAGAGUGCGGAAGGGGCAAUCGGAAUUCUCGGUGUAGCGGUGAAAUGCGUAGAUAUCGAGAGGAACACCUGCGGCGAAGGCGGGUUGCUGGGCUGACACUGACGCUGAGGCGCGAAAGCCAGGGGAGCAAACGGG
rnacentral:rRNA from 1 species